rnacentral:tRNA from 1 species
GCUAGGGUGGCAGAGUUUGGUAAUUGCAAAAGGCCUAAGCCCUUUUAAGCAGAGGUUCAAAUCCUCUCCCUAGCU